rnacentral:rRNA from 1 species
UACGGGGGGGGCAAGCGUUGUUCGGAAUUACUGGGCGUAAAGGGCGCGUAGGCGGCCUUCUAAGUCAGACGUGAAAUCCCUCGGCUCAACCGAGGAACUGCGUCUGAUACUGGAAGGCUUGAAUCCGGGAGAGGGAUGUGGAAUUCCAGGUGUAGCGGUGAAAUGCGUAGAUAUCGGAAGGAACGUCGGUGGCGAAAGCGGCGCGCUGGACCUCUUCUGACGCUGAGGCGCGAAAGCCAGGGGAGCGAACGGG